CCUACGGGUGGCUGCAGUGGGGAAUAUUGGGCAAUGGGCGCAAGCCUGACCCAGCAACGCCGCGUGAAGGAAGAAGGCUUUCGGGUUGUAAACUUCUUUUCUCAGGGACGAAGCAAGUGACGGUACCUGAGGAAUAAGCCACCGCUAACUACGUGCCAGCAGCCGGGGUAAUACGUAGGUGGCAAGCGUUAUCCGGAUUUACUGGGUGUAAAGGGCGGGUAGGCGGGACUGCAAGUCAGAUGUGAAGACUACGGGCUCAACCUGUGGCCUGCAUGUGAAACUGUAGUUCUUGAGUACUGGAGAGGCAGACGGAAUUCCUAGUGUAGCGGUGAAAUGCGUAGAUAUGAGGAGGAACACCAGUGGCGAAGGCGGUCUGCUGGACAGCGACUGACGCUGAGGCGCGAAAGCGUGGGGAGCAAACAGGAUUAGAUACCCUGGUAGUC
rnacentral:rRNA from 1 species